AUCGCGAAGAACCUUACCAGCGUUUGACAUGGCAGGACGACUUCCAGAGAUGGAUUUCUUCCCUUCGGGGACCUGCACACAGGUGCUGCAUGGCUGUCGUCAGCUCGUGUCGUGAGAUGUUGGGUUAAGUCCCGCAACGAGCGCAACCCUCGCCUUUAGUUGCCAUCAUUUAGUUGGGCACUCUAGGGAGACUGCCGGUGAUAAGCCGGAGGAAGGUGGGGAUGACGUCAAGUCCUCAUGGCCCUUACGCGCUGGGCUACACGCGUGCUACAAUGGCGGUGACAGUGGGCAGCAAGCACGCGAGUGUGAGCUAAUCUCCAAAAGCCGUCUCAGUUCAGAUUGCACUCUGCAACUCGAGUGCAUGAAGGCGGAAUCGCUGGUAAUCGUGGAUCAGCAUGCCACGGUGAAUACGUUCCCGGGCCUUGUACACACC
rnacentral:rRNA from 1 species